AGGGAAACAAUCUAUUGGAUAAGAGGACGUUAAGCAGGAAUUUACGCAUACCGGUUCAUAGAUCGCCGUGAAAGCGGGUGAUUCGUCUGUCUGAAUUUUCAACAAAGGAGUUGCAGGAUGCUUGCAUGGAUGGGUUGGGUGCAGAGCAUGAGUUUCAGAGUUAUUAGCUAGCUAGUUAGUUUAUCUUUCUUUGAUGAUGAUGAGCAUUUGAAAAUUUUGUAAUUGAACCAAUUUGACAUGUUGGAUUUGUCUAUUUGAAUUGAUUAAUUAAUUAU